GUACGGGGGGGGCAAGCGUUUGUUCGGAAUUACUGGGCGUAAAGGGCUCGUAGGUGGCCAACUAAGUCAGACGUGAAAUCCCUCGGCUUAACCGGGGAACUGCGUCUGAUACUGGAUGGCUUGAGUUUGGGAGAGGGAUGCGGAAUUCCAGGUGUAGCGGUGAAAUGCGUAGAUAUCUGGAGGAACACCGGUGGCGAAGGCGGCAUCCUGGACCAACACUGACACUGAGGAGCGAAAGCCAGGGGAGCAAACGGG
rnacentral:rRNA from 1 species